AACGAACGCUGGCGGCAGGCCUAACACAUGCAAGUCGAGCGAGAUCUUCGGAUCUAGCGGCGGACGGGUGAGUAACGCGUGGGAACGUGCCCUUUGCUUCGGAAUAGCCCCUGGAAACGGGGAGUAAUACCGGAUGUGCCCUAUUGGGGGAAAGAUUUAUCGGCAAAGGAUCGGCCCGCGUUGGAUUAGGUAGUUGGUGGGGUAAUGGCCUACCAAGCCGACGAUCCAUAGCUGGUUUGAGAGGAUGAUCAGCCACACUGGGACUGAGACACGGCCCAGACUCCUACGGGAGGCAGCAGUGGGGAAUCUUAGACAAUGGGCGCAAGCCUGAUCUAGCCAUGCCGCGUGAGCGAUGAAGGCCUUAGGGUUGUAAAGCUCUUUCAGGGGGGAAGAUAAUGACUGUACCCUCAGAAGAAGCCCGGCUAACUCCGUG
rnacentral:rRNA from 1 species